GCCUGCGGCCGUGGGCUGGCGCGGAGACGCGCCGGCGGCGGGCAAGUUGGCUGUGGUAGGGAACCGCGGCUGCAGCCGGGCGCUGUGAGGGCGGUCCCGGGAGGGAAGCGGCGGCCGCAGAAGGCCCUGGCUGAGAGAGGCUCGGGGCCACCCAGACGCCCUGAGGGUCGCGGCGGCGGCGGCGCGCUGUGGGACGCGCAGACUCCGGGUAGGCGACGCCCACACCUGGCGUCCGCGGGAGGCGCCGAACUUGGCGGCCCCGAGGAAGCCGAGGCCGAAAGAGGUCAUUGGUUUAUUCUUCCCAGCACACCUGGGGAGUACAUCCAUGCUGUUAUCCUCUGUUCACAGCUGAGGCAACUGAAACUGAAGGAGGCAAAGUGUUUUGUCCAAGAGCACAACAGGGCAAGAGAAAACUCCACAGUACAUACUUCUGGGGAUUUUCCAUAUUGAUGGAAGAGAGUGUUCAGGAUACCAAAGUGAAUCCCACUGAAGGCAUGUAUUAGCAUUAAUUUCUCCUAACUAUUGAAAUGUAGCUUGUGUGGUUCUUUCUCACCUUAACAUGUUCAGCAAAAAUGCUGAAACUCUGAAAGAUGAUUGAUAUAGAAACAUGCUAGAAUUAACCUUAUUUUAAAAACAAUAACUAUGCAUAAUAGAUGAGUUUCCCAACCAAUGAGACUCCCCACACUGAGACUCUUUUCACAGGAGCUUCUGAAUUCUUUUUUUUUUUUUUUUUUUGGAUUUUAUUUAUUCAUGAAAGACACACACAGAGGGAGAGAGAGAGAGGCAGAGACUUAGGCAGAGGGGGAAGCAGGCUCCCUGCAGGGAGCCUGAUGUGGGACUCUAUCCUGGGACCUGGGAUCCUGCCCUGAGUCAAAGGCAGAUGCUCAACUGCUGAGCCACCCAAGCAUCCCAAGCUUCUGAAUUCUGAGCAAGGUCUGACGGAAUAGUGCAGGUAGCAAAAUAUUAUGUGAAAAGUUACUGACAUUUUAUCUUAGUGUCUGCUGAAGGCCAAUCUAGGAUUCCUCUGUAAACUGGCAUGUCAGCUCCCUAAACCCUGGGAGUCUUUCUGGGGAGGUAGUUGUUGGUGUCCUGUCUAUAGGACCCAAAGUUAUUGAGUUGUAGCAUCUCAAGGAACUUUUCAUAGCCUCCCCAGUAAGCACUACAGUAUACUAUCCACAGAUAUAAAUACUCAGUAAAUAGAAUUUAAUAGAAUUUAAUUGUUAGCAGGUCUUGAGCUUAACUAAAGCAGACAACUGCCCUUGGAAAUACAACCAAACCCUCAGAAGACCAAAGAGAAAAGAGCAUAGUCAAGGUCAGGUGUCUCCAGAACAUUUGUGUAGUUCAUAGUUCAAACCAGCAGUGGUGGGCAUGAGGGCACUAAUUCCCAUUCAGAGUCACAGAAACCAUUCAGUUGGAAAUGAAUUGAAAUAUGUAAUUGGACCUGGCACUUGAAAGUUUUGUGACUCUUUCAAAGCCAAGUGGAACAAGGAAAAACUGUCUGUUUUCUGAUUCCCUUUUCCAAGAAGCUGAAAAUAUAUUGCAAAUGAGCCCUUAGUUGUGGGUCGUCAUCCUUACAAGACCUGUCUUUGGUUCCAAGGUUGGAAAUUCUUCCUAUGCUUCCCAAUCUCACCCACCUCCAACUUGAACUAGGUCUCAGAGUCUCAUUUUGACCAUAUAUUUUUUCGGCCACGUGGGAGAGAUGAGAAGAGGCUAAAUAUAGCUGUGUAAAAAACAACCAGCAAACUAGAUAGCACCUUCAGGCUUAACAUCAACAAUGAGGAUGUAACAUCAGCUUCAAAUCUUGUGUAAACAUGCACAAAUAUUUUCUAAGAAUAUUUUUCAGAAGAGUAUUUUUUAGACAGAAUCUCUAAAUUGUAUUAUGAAUGAUAAAUGAGAAGGUUAACAAAGUAUAUUUCAGGGCCGUUUUACGUAUUUGUGGCCAUGAUCUGUCUUUAUGACUAUUGAUUAGGUCAGUUUAUUAGUCUCGCCAGAAAGGGAGCAUUGCUAUACUGUGGUGUUGGGAAAGGAUCUUUGAGAUGAUGAUGAAGGUUGGAGGAAAGGCUAGAGCUUAUUUUGGUAUUUGUUUCAUUUUAAAAGGCUGUAACUAGGACUUCAUACGUGUCUAAUAAGUAUGCAUGUAACAUUUUUAUGUUUGGUGAAUGCCUUAAAGUCCCCCAUUAGUCUCCACAAUAUCUCUUGAGGGUGGAUCAGUAUUACUGCCAACAGUUUACAUUUGAGGAAGUUUAAGACACAAAGGGAUUAUGAGAUUUAUACAAGGUCACCCAGCGUGCAAGCCUAGCUAAUAAAAGAUGACUGCGAAGCUCUUUCCAAAUAAAAAGUGUUUUAUAAACAUUAGGUAGUAUUAAUGGGCAUGAUCCCAGGAUGAGUAAAAUACUCUCUAGGAAUAAAGUGCUCAUACAUGUUCUAUAGGAUUAAAUCUUUUUAACCUCAGGGCAACUUUUGAUGGAGGAAUUCUUGAACCUGGCUAUGCAUCAGAAAUGUCUUUAUAGCUUUUAGAACAUGUGAGCACCUGGGCCCCUACCCAAGCUAUAGAAUCAUAAUCAGGGAGGCGGGACACAGAUAAUUUGUAUCUUGUAAAAGCUCCACAGGGGAUCCUGAUGCUCAGCCACUGUCCUAGACUAUAAUAAUAACAACCUCAGACAAGCCAAGAGCAACAAGAAGACACCAUGGAGUAAAUUUAGGAGGAAACACUCUAGCAUCUUCAGGCUUCUGUCUACCUAGUUCACAUCUAUUACUAGCAAAGGAACUACCUCCCUGAAAGACUCACCUGUGUAUCUGUGUAUGGAAUUCCAGGAAAUAGGGCUGAGAUGAAAGGUUAUUUAAGAACCACCCAUGUUUGUUAUAAUAUGUUGGGUAAAUUUACUGUGUCUUUUCUUGGGUUAUUGCUGAUUCUACUCUAAUAUUCUUAUUUGGAGUACCUUGUAUAAUAAUCAACAGUAAAAACCUCUAAUAUCUGCCCAUUCACCCAUCCAUCAAACAUUUAUUGAAUAUGUGCCAUGUGUAGAUUACAGAGUGAAAUUACGUUCUUUGUCCACCGGAGUUUAUCCACAACCUGUGAUAAAACAGACACAGGUCAAACAAACAAAAACCCUAUAAUAGUAAGCUAUACAUAUUAAAUGAUAAGCAUAUAUGAGGCAUUAUUCAUAAUGCUAAAAAGUUGAAACAAUCCAGAUGUCAUUAAUUGAAAAAUGAAUAAGUAAAACUUGGUAUAUCCAUACAUCAGAUUAUUAUUCAACAAUAAAAUAGAAUGAAGUACUGAUACAUGCCAAAAAAUGGAUGAACUCUGAAAAAAUAUAUAAGGUGAAAAAAAGCCAGUCCCAAAGAACCACAUAUUGUAUGAUUCCAGUUAUAGGAAAUAUCCUGACUAGGCAGAUCUAUAGAGACAGAAAGUGAUUGCCUAAGGCUGGAGGAGGGUGAGAUGGGAGGGGCUCUUAAUGGGUACAGGGUUUCUUUUGGGGGUGAUUAAAAUGUUCUAAAAAUGAUGGAUACACAACCCUGUGACUAUACUUAAAAAAAAAAAAAACCUCAUUAAAUUGUAUACGUUAAUUGAGUGGAUUGUGUGGUAUGUAAAUUAUAUCUCAAGUGUAUAUAUACAUAAAUCUGGUGCUGUACAAACUUGGAGGAGAGAGUGGAUUGAUUAAUUUGGAUUGGAAGAAAGAGUGGAAAAUUUCCUGGAGGAAAUGGCAGUUGAGUUGAAACAAAAGGUGAUUUUGUAAAGGAGGCAAGGCUCAGAGAUACAGUCAAAGUGCUAGUGCUUUCAUGCAAGGGCAGUUUAUCUGGAUUCGACGGGAUUUAGGAUAGAUGAGUGGUGCAGUACAUGGGACUAGAUGCAGGGUUUUAUGUCAAAUGGUUUGGUCUUCAUUUUCAUAGGCAGUGGAGGGCCAUGAUAGGUUGGUGAGUGGUCGGAUCAGGCCCAUGAUUUGCAAGGAUAAUUGGAGGUGGUGAUAAGGUAGAUGGGAGAUGGGGUUGGGAAGCCAGUGAGCAAGGGAGACCAUUGAAAGAGUCUGGGCUUUUGCAAUGCAUAGGCAA